rnacentral:sRNA from 2 species
UCCGCACACUCACCCGUACACGGCAGGAGCGGGGGACCCACAGGUUCCGUGCCUGGUCCGGUCUCCGGAACAGGCUAGGGGUACAGCCGCGCAGCCGCGCGGCCGGGCAUCUCCAGCCCGCACCCGACAGCUCACCUCGCAGGCGCCGGAGAGGAAAU